ncrna:unclassified sequences DTF3800-I RNA
UAUAGGUGCAGGUAGCAAUACGCUGUUUACUCAUGUAAUCGAAUUAACGUUUAAGCGAACUGUAAGCUCGCCGACCAUGAGGCAUAAUAUCGCCCCCUAGAAGUAAUCACCUGAUCAGUGAUGAAACUAGGGGUAUUUUUAUA